CAGCAGCCGCGGUAAUACAGAGGGUGCAAGCGUUAAUCGGAAUUACUGGGCGUAAAGCGCACGCAGGCGGUCUGUCAAGUCAGAUGUGAAAUCCCCGGGCUUAACCUGGGAACUGCAUUUGAAACUGGCAGGCUAGAGUCUUGUAGAGGGGGGUAGAAUUCCAGGUGUAGCGGUGAAAUGCGUAGAGAUCUGGAGGAAUACCGGUGGCGAAGGCGGCCCCCUGGACAAAGACUGACGCUCAGGUGCGAAAGCGUGGGGAGCAAACAGGAUUAGAUACCCCGGUAGUCCCUGUCUCUUAUAC
rnacentral:rRNA from 1 species